rnacentral:lncRNA from 1 species
ACACCACCCAGGCUCCUGGCAGCAGAGAGAAGGUGCAGCCUAAAUAGGUCAUUGAGGAGAACUUACUGACAGACUGUUUACAGAGGCGAAGGCAAGGUUACGGGAAACCAGCAGGGGAAGGCAGCGCACCUGGGCGAGUGUUGGGGAGACCCUGUGCCUGAGGGGCAAGCAAAAGAAGGGGCUCCUGGCGUCCAGAGAAGACUCUGGACAGAAGCUGUGGUAGAGGAACACAGAAAAGGACAGUCUGUGUUCUGCCAGGGGCGGGGGUCCUCCCCCUUUUUCUCCUUCCCCCAGAGCCUUCUGGAGGCCCCCUGACUGGCCAACCCACCAGGAAGCCAGGGAACCUUGGAUAGAGCGCCUGGAGGACCCAGCGCCUGGAGGACGCGGUGCCUGGAGGACAAAGUGCCUGGAGCAUGCAGUACAUGGAGGACUCGGUGCAUAGAGGGCACAGUGCCUGGAGGACACAGUGCCUGGGGGACACAGUGCUAAAGGCCGGCAGCCAAGCUGAGGGCAGGGUGGAGGGGGGAGGGCAGUGUACCUGGAGGGGCAGACAGAGCAUCCAGAGUUCCGGGGUACCUCUGCCCAGCACCUGUCUGACCCUGGAUGCUGCCACUUUUGCACCCCACAGCUCAUGAGAGGUCUUCUAGGUCAGGUGCCUUAUCUUUAGGGGGUGUUAUCCCCCAGGAAAUAACUCAAAGGCGGGAACCUGUCCGCAGCACCUCUGUGGAUAAUUGCGAGGAUGAGAAACGCCAGUGGGACGUGCUGCGAUCCCGCCCUGGCAGGAGUGCCAGAGGCUCUGUUAACACCUGCCGAUGGAGCACGUGGUAUCACACACGACAACAGCGAAGCGUGCUGGGUAUGACUUUCUCAGACCAUGUCGAUGUGUCCUGUAUAGAAAAAGCUUGGAGGCCGAUAGGUCCAUGGUCGUUAAGAAGCCCUGGACAGACGCCCUCAUCCGUGAUCGAGGAGAAAACAGCGGGCGUCUGCUGGAAUUCGUCGCAAGUCCCGGCGAAGUAAUGACAAGAGUCGGGGCUGACAGCUCAUUUUAGGAGGCCGGAUGGAAAGCCUCUUGGCUUUUGUCAACUCUUGCUCCAGCCCCCAAUAUUUGGUUGGCACGGAAGCUCCUUUUCCAAGACCCCGUGGUGGGUUUGGGGCGGAUUCGUCGGCUGACAACCAGCAAAGGGUCUUGGAAGUUCCUCGCGGCUUCGCGUGCACGUGCGUCCCUGGAGCGCCUGGUACGAGGCGGACUCUGACUUCAGGGCUGGACGGGGCUGAGGUUUCCCGCUUUGGCGAGGUUCUGGGAACUGCGGAAGCCCUUCUAAAGCCGAUGUUUUUUGUUGAUAAAUAUACAAAUUACACGACCUCUGUUGCCCCAUCUCCAGAUGCUGGUGCCCGCCUGGUGGAGCACGUGGCCUCUGGUGGAGAAACCCCGUGUCCUCUGGGCCCCUCCAUCAGCCCCAAAGAACGGCCUCAAUUUUACUUUGUGGAGCAAAUAUCGCCCCAAUGAUGGCUUCAGUGUCCCUGACAUAAAUAUUACCACGUUGAGAAGGCUCUUUCCAAACUGCCACCCUUUCCAGCUCCAGUUAUUUUUAUGAUCAUCAUCUUAUAUUUCUCCCAUUAUCCUCACGUAAGAGGCUUAAAAUUCUCCACGGAUCCUUCCCAACAGCCCCAGGGCGGUCCUGCAGACUUCGCUGAUGUGGAAUUCCAAACGCAUCGUGACCUAGAGCGAGUCCACUAAACCACCGCGGGAACAGGCCUUAUCAGCGGGUAGCACUUGCUGUGUUUCCACGACUCUCAAAGAUGCAGUCAGGUGCCGCUGUGGCCGGGCCUUCCUGGAGAAUAGCCGCCUGCGGAGGCAUGUGUCGGCCGUGACCUCGCCUCCUUUCAGGCAUCAUCUCAUCUCUGCUGAAAUGCCUUUCUUUGCACAGGUCCACACAGGACCGUUUCUCCUGUGCUUAUAGGGCAAGACGUCUUGGGUUUUACUCUUUGCCCUCACUUCCCAUUCAAGAGUGUCAAGAAUGCAAAUUAAGUUUUUUCCCCUUUUUUGUGGUUUCUUUUUCUUUUCUCUGUUAAAUCACUCAUUGAAUUUAUUGCAUGUAUAGCUGUACAAUGAUCAUCACAAUCCAGUUUUACAGGAUUUCCAUCCCACACCCCCAGCGCAUCCCCCCCACCCCCAACCUGUCUCCUAUGGAAACCGUAAGUUUUUCAAAGUCUGUGAGUCAGCGUCUGUUCUGCAAAGAAGUUCAUUGAGUCCUUUUUUCAGAUUCCACAUGUCAGUGAAAGCAUUUGAUGCUGGUGUCUCACUGUCUGACUGACUUCACUUAGCUUGAUAAUUUCUGGUCCAUCCAUGUUGCUAAAAAUGCCGUUAUUUGGUUUCUUUUAAUGGCUGAAUAAUAUUCCAUUGUGUAUGUGUACCACAUCUUCUUGAUCCACUCCUCUGUCCAUGGACAUUUAGGUUGUUUCCACGUCUUGGCUCUUGAAAAUAGUGCUGCCACAAACAUUGGAGUACAUGUGUCUUUGGAGUCAUGGUUUUCUCUGGAUAGAUGCCCAGGUGUGGCAAAUGAAGUUUCUAUUUCCAUAGGAGCCAUCUGGGGAUUUUUAACAUUAAUUAAUUAAUUUGACUGUGCUCACAGUAUGCGGAAGUUCCCAGGCCAGGGAUCAACCUGCACCACAGUGGUGACAAUGCCGGAUCCUUUAACCAUUAGGCUACCAGGGAACUCUUCAGCUGAGGAUUUAAAAAUUAACUUCUAGAUCCAAAAAUCUGAGAAUAACUCGUGUUAUUCUGCCCUAUUUUUUCCUUUUCCGUCUGCUCUGUUUUUCCCUCUUUGCUGGAUGCUGCUCUUGACUGUCCUGAUGGACAGUUGGAGAGUAACGUCACCUGCCGUGAUCCUAGGCUCACCUCACAGGGGCCCCAAACCACCUCCUGUGAGUGAGUGCCCACACUGGGUACACGUGCUGGGGUGAGGAGCGGGUGGGGACAGGACCUUGGAUAUACACGCAGCCCACUUGGGUCUUGUUAUCUCUUUGCUCUGGAAGAUACUCCUCCCCCAUAAAUCUAGAAAGCAUUUAAAAAAAUUGCGGUAAUACUGAUUUAUAACAUUAUACGUUUCAUGUGUAUAGCAUAUUUCCACUUCUGUUUAUACUACAGC